CCCGCCCGCUCGCGCCCUUCCCGCCCGCUCGCGCCCUUCCCGCCCGCUCGCGCCCUUCCCGCCCGCUCGCGCCCUUCCCGCCCGCGCCGCCUCAGCCGCUGAGGCGCUUCCCUCAGGGCGCAAAGGGCGGCCCGGCUGGAUUCCCUGUCGGGAAAGCUGGGACGAGCCAACUCCCUGCCCCCGCGCCUCCCUGCGAAGGGCUCAAUCUGGGGGCUGAGGCGAGGAAACCUUGCCCGAGGGUGCGCAGGGCUGACCUGAGGGGAAAGCCAUGAUCCCGGAGGCCCCAGGCUGCGACUGCGGCCCCCCCAGGGGCGGGUGCGGCUCCGCUCCCCUUACCGACGGGCUCCGGGUCGCCUGACCUUGGACCUCAUGGCUUUACUCCUUCCGGGCCACAGCACUUCCCACGGAAUACAGGCCGUCCUACAGGUGGAGACCCUUUGCCUGAGGGUCUCUCAGGCAAUGUCCUACAGGCCCGUUAUCACUGACCAGACUGAUCAUGCCACUUACUGAACCAGUAGAGGAGCCUCUCACUGACCUACACUGACCAGUGUAAGAGCCUCUCUCCUUUUACCCUCAUUUUACUUCAUGGGCAGGGGAAAAAAGCCCUCCACAUGGUUUAUCGGGUCAUUUCUCCUCUGCAGCUCCACAUGUCUUCUCCACUGAGCAUCUCCACACCACUCGCGUGAGACGCUCUCCAACCCACGGCGAGAGGAGCCUCUCCCACCUGCCACCAAAAGGUUUGUCAGGCACAGGGAGGAAAGGCCUGCUCACCCCAUCCAGCACAGAGUCAGCUUCCCAGUAAAGCAUCGCACGUCUCUUGCAGUGCAAUGGUCAGAGUCUCACAGAGAGCAGCCCUGGUUUUUCCUGUUCUGCUGGCCACUAGGCUGCUGGGAAAACACCUCCUGGGCUCCUGUCCAGGCUGGCUGUCGCUCCUCUAUUGACUCUUAUGUGAAGAACUUGUCUGCCUUUUCUUGACCUCAGAGGGGGAUGGGGAUGUUUUUGCCUGCCAGGACCUUUCCGUGAGGCACUUCCCAUCAUUUCUGCCCACUCCAGCCACAAAGAUGACAUGAUGUCAGUAGCACACCCAACCCACUACAUGCUGAUUCUGCUGAGUCUGCUCUAUGUAGCCUGAGAUAUGACCCAUAUUUUGACUGUCUAAUAAAGAUGGCUCAAUUAAAAACCA
rnacentral:lncRNA from 1 species